CCUACGGGAGGCAGCAGUGAGGAAUAUUGGUCAAUGGGAGAGAUCCUGAACCAGCCAAGCCGCGUGAGGGAAGACGGCCCUAUGGGUUGUAAACCUCUUUUGUCGGAGAACAAAACCCGGGUCGUGUCCCGUACUGCGUGUAUCCGAAGAAAAAGCAUCGGCUAACUCCGUGCCAGCAGCCGCGGUAAUACGGAGGAUGCGAGCGUUAUCCGGAUUUAUUGGGUUUAAAGGGUGCGUAGGCGGUCCGUUAAGUCAGCGGUAAAAUUGCGGGGCUCAACCCCGUCGAGCCGUUGAAACUGGCAGACUUGAGUUGGCGAGAAGUACGCGGAAUGCGCGGUGUAGCGGUGAAAUGCAUAGAUAGCGCGCAGAACUCCGAUUGCGAAGGCAGCGUACCGGCGCCAGACUGACGCUGAGGCACGAAAGCGUGGGGAUCGAACAGGAUUAGAUACCCCUGUAGUC
rnacentral:rRNA from 1 species